ACGUAUAGGGUGUGACGCCUGCCCGGUGCCGGAAGAUUAAAUGAUGGGGUGCAAGCUCUUGAUUGAAGUCCCGGUAAACGGCGGCCGUAACUAUAACGGUCCUAAGGUAGCGAAAUUCCUUGUCGGGUAAGUUCCGACCUGCACGAAUGGCGUAACGAUGGCCACACUGUCUCCUCCCGAGACUCAGCGAAGUUGAAGUGUUUGUGAUGAUGCAAUCUCCCCGCGGCUAGACGGAAAGACCCCAUGAACCUUUACUGUAGCUUUGCAUUGGACUUUGAACCGAUCUGUGUAGGAUAGGUG
rnacentral:rRNA from 1 species